rnacentral:misc_RNA from 1 species
AAGUCGUAACAAGGUUUCCGUAGGUGAACCUGCGGAAGGAUCAUUGACACACAAUGUUCUCACACACACAACCUGAUUCGUUGGUUAUUGCGGGAAUGGUAAAACACUCCCGCAACAACAACAUUCUAACAAACCUUGUUCUUCGAGCGUCCCCCGCGCCUCAAAAACGCGAGCCCGCUUUCGGAGUAACAAAACUCACAACAACAACAAAAAAACCACAAUAUAACCUAAAAAUAUUCAACGAUGGAUAUCUUGGUUCCCAUACCGAUGAAGAACGCAGC